AGCAGCCGCGGUAAUUCCAGCUCCAAUAGCGUAUAUUAAAGUUGUUGCAGUUAAAAAGCUCGUAGUUGAAUUUCGGGAUCAAUAUGUCUGUCGUGCCUUUGGUACGUACGGGUAUAAUUGGUUUCUACCUUCUGAUGAACCUUGAUGCCAUUAAUUUGGUGUCUUGGGGACUCAGGACUGUUACCUUGAAAAAAUUAGAGUGUUUAAAGCAGGCAUACGCUUGAAUACAUUAGCAUGGAAUAAUGAAAUAGGACGUUCGAUUCUAUUUUGUUGGUUUCUAGGAUCGACGUAAUGAUUAAUAGGGAUAGUUGGGGGCAUUAGUAUUCAAUUGUCAGAGGUGAAAUUCUUGGAUUUAUUGAAGACUAACUACUGCGAAAGCAUUUGCCAAGGAUGUCUUCAUUAAUCAAGAACGAAAGUUAGGGGAUCGAAGACGAUCAGAUACCGUCGUAG
rnacentral:rRNA from 1 species